GUUGAAACACUAGUUCCCUGUAUGAUCACCAAAGUUAAGCAACGUUGAGCCUGGUCAGUACCUAGAUAGGUGACCACUUUGAAAUACCAGGUACU